rnacentral:snoRNA from 1 species
AUGACCUUACUUGAACAGGAUCUGUUCUAUAGGCUGGUACCACUGUAUCCUAACUUCUAAGGAGACAGGACAUCAUGUCUGUCUCAUGAAUCAAAUCCAUGAGACUAGAGCGUGAUUAACGGCCUCCAUGGGCUAGAUGAUAGUUCUCAGACAGACU